CCGGUUCACUUUAACACUGAGGCGUGACGACGAGGCACUACGGUGCUGAAGCAACAAAUGCCCUGCUUCCAGGAAAAGCCUCUAAGCAUCAGGUAACACGAAAUCGUACCCCAAACCGACACAGGUGGUCAGGUAGAGAAUACCAAGGCGCUUGAGAGAACUCGGGUGAAGGAACUAGGCAAAAUGGUGCCGUAACUUCGGGAGAAGGCACGCUGACACGUAGGUGAAGUGAUUUACUCAUGGAGCUGAAGUCAGUCGAAGAUACCAGCUGGCUGCAACUGUUUAUUAAAAACACAGCACUGUGCAAACACGAAAGUGGACGUAUACGGUGUGACGCCUGCCCGGUGCCGGAAGGUUAAUUGAUGGGGUCAGCGCAAGCGAAGCUCCUGAUCGAAGCCCCGGUAAACGGCGGCCGUAACUAUAACGGUCCUAAGGUAGCGAAAUUCCUUGUCGGGUAAGUUCCGACCUGCACGAAUGGCGUAAUGAUGGCCAGGCUGUCUCCACCCGAGACUCAGUGAAAUUGAACUCGCUGUGAAGAUGCAGUGUACCCGCGGCAAGACGGAAAGACCCCGUGAACCUUUACUAUAGCUUGACACUGAACAUUGAGCCUUGAUGUGUAGGAUAGGUGGGAGGCUUUGAAGUGUGGACGCCAGUCUGCAUGGAGCCGACCUUGAAAUACCACCCUUUAAUGUUUGAUGUUCUAACGUGGACCCGUAAUCCGGGUUGCGGACAGUGUCUGGUGGGUAGUUUGACUGGGGCGGUCUCCUCCUAAAGAGUAACGGAGGAGCACGAAGGUUGGCUAAUCCUGGUCGGACAUCAGGAGGUUAGUGCAAUGGCAUAAGCCAGCUUGACUGCGAGCGUGACGGCGCGAGCAGGUGCGAAAGCAGGUCAUAGUGAUCCGGUGGUUCUGAAUGGAAGGGCCAUCGCUCAACGGAUAAAAGGUACUCCGGGGAUAACAGGCUGAUACCGCCCAAGAGUUCAUAUCGACGGCGGUGUUUGGCACCUCGAUGUCGGCUCAUCACAUCCUGGGGCUGAAGUAGGUCCCAAGGGUAUGGCUGUUCGCCAUUUAAAGUGGUACGCGAGCUGGGUUUAGAACGUCGUGAGACAGUUCGGUCCCUAUCUGCCGUGGGCGCUGGAGAACUGAGGGGGGCUGCUCCUAGUACGAGAGGACCGGAGUGGACGCAUCACUGGUGUUCGGGUUGUCAUGCCAAUGGCACUGCCCGGUAGCUAAAUGCGGAAGAGAUAAGUGCUGAAAGCAUCUAAGCACGAAACUUGCCCCGA
rnacentral:rRNA from 1 species